GCGACAUUAGGUUGAAAUAUCGGUUCCCGUACGAUCACCGAAGUCAAGCAACGUCGAAGCUGGUCUUUAACUGAAUGGGUGUCCGCUUGGGAAUAUCAGGUGCUGUAAG